UACGUAGGGUGCAGGCGUUAAUCGGAAUUACUGGGCGUAAAGCGUGCGCAGGCGGCUCCUUAAGUCAGAUGUGAAAGCCCCGGGCUUAACCUGGGAACUGCGUUUGAAACUGGGGAGCUAGAGUGUAGAAGAGGGGGGUGGAAUUCCAGGUGUAGCAGUGAAAUGCGUAGAGAUCUGGAGGAACACCGAUGGCGAAGGCAGCCCCCUGGGCUGAGAUUGACGCUCAGGCACGAAAGCGUGGGGAGCAAACAGG
rnacentral:rRNA from 1 species